AGUAGAAUUGCUGGGUCAUAUGGUAAUUCUAUUCUUAACUUUUGAGUAAUAGCCAUACUGUUUUUCCAUAGUAGCCACACCAUUUUAUAUUCUCAGCAAU
rnacentral:pre_miRNA from 1 species